CGGGGGGGGGGGCAAGCGUUGUUCGGAAUUACUGGGCGUAAAGGGCGCGUAGGCGGACGAGCAAGUCUCUCGUGAAAUCCCAUGGGCUCAACCGUGGAAUUGCGGGAGAAACUGCUCGCCCUUGAGUUCGGGAGAGGAGAGUGGAAUUCCCAGUGUAGCGGUGAAAUGCGUAGAUAUUGGGAGGAACACCGGUGGCGAAGGCGGCUCUCUGGACCGAGACUGACGCUGAGGCGCGAAAGCCAGGGGAGCAAACGGGAUUAGAUACCCCGGUAGUCCUGGCCGUAAACGAUGAACACUUGGUGUAGCGGGUAUCGACCCCUGCUGUGCCGGAGCUAACGCAUUAAGUGUUCCGCCUGGGGAGUACGGUCGCAAAGGCUG
rnacentral:rRNA from 1 species